AUCCCUGUAGCGCAUUGGAUAGCGCGUUGGACUUCUAAUCCACAGGUUAUGGGCUCGAAUUCCACCUGGGAGG